UUGCUUUAGCAGCACAUAUACUAAAGUUGGAAUGAUACAGAGAAGAUUAGCAUGGCCCCUGAACAAGGAUGACAAGCAAAUUCGUAAAGCAUUCCGUAUUUUU
rnacentral:snRNA from 1 species